GCCCUUCGCUCCUUCCUUUUCCUUUCCGACUUCCUUUCCUCCUCUCCUCUUUUCCCUCACCUUGCUCUCCUUUUUAUUCCUUUGAGCCUUCCUUUUUGAUUAUCAUUAAAUCUUCAAAGUAAAUCUUUUGUUAACUCAAUUGGUUUCUACUUUGGUAUUGGAGGUCUUUGCAGCUUCACACCUGCUCCUCUUUGUUCAUUAGCUGGAUCUCAGUGUUAUGCUUGGUUCCACUCGGCGUGAUAAGUUAUCUAUCGCUGAGGACACUGUAAAAGGUGGCCAAGGUAAAUGCAGAUGAACCGCUUCUAAUAGUCCAUUGACUUGGACAAUACUUUUAUGAUCUGAUCUCAAAUCAGGUAGGACUACCCGCUGAACUUAAGC
rnacentral:misc_RNA from 1 species